AUUUAUAUAGUAUAUUUCAUAUUACAUUUAAUUUCCAAUUAAAAAAAUUAAUAAAAUUUUAAUAUAAAUA
rnacentral:tRNA from 1 species